rnacentral:lncRNA from 1 species
ACAUCCCACUCCUUCAACUGUGCCUUGGCUCCCGUGAAAGCUUGCUCGUGGCAUCUUCCUUCCAUCGCAUGCAGUGGGAGUUAGUAAGGUGUUCAGCCUGUUAGUCCUUAGCAUGUUCCUGGUUGUUUGCUUUUUAUGGUCUUUGUGCAUCGUUUCCUUCUUGCUCAGAGAGCUGACACUAAGUUUUGACAUUUGGUUCCUGUGGUAAAGGACCUGGGAUAUGGACACCUUCAUCUUCCUGAUCCCACAGAUCCAGCCUGAGCCACAAAAGGCUGCUUUUGUUCCUCACAGGACUCUCCUCUCUGUGCUGCUGGAGAGAACAGGCCAUUCGGACUGAAGGUGACCUUGGAGAAGGUUCUGCGAAGCCUGGCUCAUUUCCAGCCAACUGAGGAAAAGCAGGAGGCUGUAUCGGUCAACAGCGGAAGUCCUCAGCUCAGCUAGAGACAGUAUUCCAGCUGCAGUCUGUUACCAGUGUUCUUCAGUCCCUCCUUUUCUCUGUGCCAGCACAGACAGACGGAGCUAAGUGACAAGGGUCUGCGCCACCCCAGGUCGCAGUCACUCGUGCUCUCACUGCCCGUGCAGAUGGGGAUGCGAGGCAAGAGAGCUCCUGCAGAGGGGGCAUAGCCUUUGGUUCGAGUGGAGAGCUGUUCUUUGAAAUCUUUUCAUGCCAAAGAGAAGGGACACUGAGGAAUGUUCUGGAAGCAAAGCAUGGCCUGAGUGGUUCUCGAGAUGUGUGCUCAGCUAAACUAAGACUUCAUCCUUCAGACCUGCAGCCUCGGAGCUUCAGAGUGAGGCCUUGAAUGGCCCCACCAAUGGGAUAAAGAAAGAAUUGCUGGUGAUUUCAGUUGCCCUGUAGGCGAGGGAUCAAUCUAUCAGAGAGGACUUCUUACCAAACUUUGUACAGGAGUCUGGAAAUUUUGACUGUGUCUCCGAAGUGUGUAACAGUUAAUAGAUAGCAGAAUGUGAGC